rnacentral:lncRNA from 1 species
UAUGGUUAGAAAUCAUUUCACACUUUCACAAUAGAGAGACUAGAGAGAUUUGAGAGAGAAAGAGAAGAAUAUAACAGAAGAGAAGAACCCAUUUGGAGAGAAGUGAAGAGGAGAGCUUGGAAUCACAAGAGGAAUGAAGAUUCUUGAAGAUUAGCUUAGCUUUGGAGGAAACAAUUGAUGAAUUUGGCAUCUUAAUCUCAAACAAAGCCUUGACUUAAACUUUUGCUUUUUGUAUCGAUAAUGCAAAAAACAGAAGAAGAAAAAAUAGCUGAGUUACCAGUCUACUUGUAGGCCUC